rnacentral:rRNA from 1 species
GAUGAACGCUGGCGGCGUGCCUAAUACAUGCAAGUCGAGCGAACAGACGAGGAGCUUUCUCCUCUUACGUUAGCGGCGGACAGGUGAGUAACACGUGGAUAACCUACCUAUAAGACUGGGAUAACUUCGGGAAACCGGAGCUAAUACCGCAUAAUAUAUUUAACCGCAUGGUUCAAUAGUGAAAGACGGUUUUGCUGUCACUUAUAGAUGGAUCCGCGCCGCAUUAUCUAGUUGGUGAGGUAACGGCUUACCAAGGCAACGAUGCGUAGCCGACCUGAGAGGGUAAUCGGCCACACUGGAACUGAGACACGGUCCAGCCUCCUACGGGAGGCAGAGGUAGGGAAUCUUCCGCAAUGAGCGAAAGCCUGACGGAGCAACGCCGGGUGAGUGAUGAAGGUCUUCGGAUCGUAAAACUCUGUUAUUAGGGAAGAACAAAUGUGUAAGUAACUAUGCACGUAUUGACGGUACCUAAUCAGAAAGCCACGGCUAACUACGUG